rnacentral:rRNA from 1 species
AACGAACGCUGGCGGCAGGCUUAACACAUGCAAGUCGAACGGGUGUAGCAAUACAUCAGUGGCAGACGGGUGAGUAACACGUGGGAACCUUCCUCGUUGUACGGGACAACUCAGGGAAACUUGAGCUAAUACCGUAUACGUCCGAGAGGAGAAAGAUUUAUCGCAAAUGAGACGGGCCCGCGUCGGAUUAGCUAGUUGGUGGGGUAACGGCCUACCAAGGCGACGAUCCGUAGCUGAUCUGAGAGGAUGAUCAGCCACACUGGGACUGAGACACGGCCCAGACUCCUACGGGAGGCAGCAGUGGGAAUCUUGGACAAUGGGCGCAAGCCUGAUCCAGCCAUGCCGCGUGAGUGAAGAAGGCCUUAGGG